UCCUGCCCACUUGUUUGCAUUGUGACACAUGCUUCAGUGCUCUGAGAGUGUUUAUAGUGCUGUGAGUUUAACACUUCAUGACUGAGAGCAGAACAGAACACAAUCUUCAUCAUCACACAAGACAAAAGAACAACAAUGAACACAAUCACCUUCUUCAUCUGGACUCUCACACUGUUUGCUCAAGAAUCCAGAGGAGUGACUCUGACUCAACCUGGAGUUAAAACUGUCCAACAGGGUCAAACAGCUUCAAUAGAGUGUCAUAUAGAUGUAGGAAUAUACAGCAACUACUUAGCCUGGUAUCAGCAGAAACCUGGAGAAGCUCCUAAACUCCUGAUUUAUUAUAUAAACACCCUCCAGUCAGGAACUCCAUCUAGAUUCAGUGGCAGUGGAUCUGGCAGUGAUUUCACUCUGACCAUCAGUGGAGUCCAGACUGAAGAUACAGGAGAUUAUUACUGUCAGAGUUACCACAGCAUCAACAGUCAAUAUGUGUUCACACAGUGAUAAAGAGUGGUACAAAAACCUCGGUCAGUCAGACGUCACAGUGAUGCACUGAUACAGCUGAGAGAUACUGCAGCUGCUGAUGGAGGAUCACAAACAACACAAUGACAAUGUUUAGCAACG